ensembl:lncRNA
GGAUGACUCCCGCUUCCAGCACUACUUUAGGCUAACCAGUAGCCAGUUUUUAUAACCUGUUUGGUUGGAUCGGAGCCAGGAUCUCUCGGUUGGACACCACCUACAGGCGUUCAAUCUCAGCUGUGGAACACCUAUCUGUCUCUGGAUGCUGGUGAAGACACUGUUUCACAGGACCUUGCAAUACAAAAGAUGAAAAUCUACAGGAACAAGACGAACACGUCGGAGUCCAGACGCCGGUAUCAUGUUGGACGU